AAGCCAUGCAUGUCUAAGUAUAAGCGAUUAUACGGCGAAACUGCGAAUGGCUCAUUACACAAGUUAUCGUUUAUUUGAUAGCACCUUACUACUUGGAUAACCGUGGUAAUUCUAGAGCUAAUACAUGCUGAAAAUCCCAACUCCGGAAGGGAUGUAUUUAUUAGAUUCAAAACCAAUGCCCUCCGGGCUCACUGGUGAUUCAUGAUAACUUCGCGGAUCGCACGGCCUUGUGCCGGCGAUGGUUCAUUCAAAUUUCUUCCCUAUCAACUUUCGAUGUUUGGGUAGUGGCCAAACAUGGUUGCAACGGGUAACGGAGGGUUAGGGCUCGACCCCGGAGAAGGAGCCUGAGAAACGGCUACUACAUCCAAGGAAGGCAGCAGGCGCGCAAAUUACCCAAUCCCGACUCGGGGAGGUAGUGACAAUAAAUACUGAUACAGGGCCCUUUCGGGUCUUGUAAUUGGAAUGAGUACAACUUAAAUCCC
rnacentral:rRNA from 2 species